GGCUGGGUGGUCAAAUUUAACCCGCCGAAAGUGGUCAAUUUUAAGUCGCCGUUGACAGAGCAAACGACUGAAAAUCGUUGGGUCGCCGGUUCAAGUCCGGCCCUGGCCACCA
rnacentral:tRNA from 1 species